rnacentral:rRNA from 1 species
GACACAGGUGGGUGAGGAGAGUAUCCUAAGGCCAGCGAGAGAACUGUUGUUAAGGAACUCGGCAAAAUGACCCCGUAACUUAGGGAUAAGGGGUGCCACCAUCAGGUGGCCGCAGAGAAUAGGCCCAAGCGACUGUUUACCAAAAACAUAGGUUUCUGCUAAGUCGCAAGACGAUGUAUAGGAGCUGACGCCUGCCCGGUGCUGGAAGGUUAAGGGGAUCUGUUAGAGCAAUCGAAGCAGUGAACUUAAGCCCCAGUAAACGGCGGCCGUAACUAUAACGGUCCUAAGGUAGCGAAAUUCCUUGUCGGGUAAGUUCCGACCCGCACGAAAGGCGUAACGAUUUGGGCACUGUCUCAACAACAGACUCGGUGAAAUUGUAAUUCCGGUGAAGAUGCCGGAUACCUGCGACAGGACGGAAAGACCCCAUGGAGCUUUACUGUAGCUUGACAUUGGGUCUUGGUACUACAUGUACAGGAUAGGUGGGAGGCUUUGAAACCAGGACGCCAGUUUUGGCGGAGCCAUCCUUGGGAUACCACCCUUGUAGUACUGGGACUCUAACCAUAGGCCAUGAAUCUGGUCUUGGGACACUGUCAGGUGGGCAGUUUGACUGGGGCGGUCGCCUCCCAAAAGGUAACGGAGGCGCUCAAAGGUUCUCUCAGUACGGUCGGAAAUCGUACGUAGAGUGUAAAGGCAAAAGAGAGCUUGAUUGCAAGACAUACAGGUCGAGCAAGGAUGAAAAUCGGACUUAGUGAUCCGGUGGUUCUGCGUGGAAGGGCCAUCGCUCAACGGAUAAAAGCUACCCUGGGGAUAACAGGCUUAUCUCCCCCAAGAGUCCACAUCGACGGGGAGGUUUGGCACCUCGAUGUCGGCUCAUCACAUCCUGGGGCUGUAGUAGGUCCCAAGGGUUGGGCUGUUCGCCCAUUAAAGUGGUACGCGAGCUGGGUUCAGAACGUCGUGAGACAGUUCGGUCCCUAUCCGUCGCAGGCGUAGGAAAUUUGAGAAGACCUGUCCUUAGUACGAGAGGACCGGGAUGGACG